UCCCUGUAGGAGUAGUGGUCAGGCCACGGCUCUCUCACUGCUGCGAACUGGGUUCGAUUCCCAGCCAGGGAA